UUGAGCUUGCCAGGCAGGUGCUGCGCUGCUGAGCUAAAUCCCCAGCCCCAUUACCCAACUCUUGCAGGCCCUCUGUUGCUGGGUGCCUUAUUCAUAAGCUUAACUCUUUAAUUUCUCCCACUCCCCAAGAAGUAGCCCUUAUUGCCUUUGGGAGGAGUGAAGAUUGGAUCUAACUUCAAGCUAAGAAGGGUUGGUAUAGGAAACAGCAGUCCAGAGGGCUUUUUCCAGAGAGUUAAUGUAAGGGGCUUGGAUAGAAGUCGUGUUGGGGUUUAGUAGUUACAUGUGGACUCUUCAGAGAGUCAGUCUAGUGGAUCUUGAUAAAAGGAUUUUGCCAUGUUCAUUGUUGGCUCUAUCUGCAUGACCAUUUGGAGUUUGACAUAAGCAGCUUUAGCUCGAGUCAUCAGUGUAAGGUGUUUCUCUAAGUCUGCAUCUUUGACGGCCUGUACGCUCAGUUAAUCUCAGACCUCAGUGUGACCUCCAGUGAUGUUAGACAAACCGAGCUCGUGGUCAUUCUCAACCAAGUCAAGGAAUGAAAUCGAAAACUGAAAGAGUUUUUAUUGGAAAUAAGAAUGGCUUCUGGAUUUCUAGAUGAUGUCCACAUCGCUGACCACACCUGCCUUUCCCUCAGAUGCAUCUCUUCUGGAAAGGCUUCCUGAUCCUUCUACCCGAGAAUCAGUUGAAUCUGUUGUACCUGGUGUGUGGCCCACAAACUGGGCCCUUCUGCAUGCAGCAUGUUAACAGGAUACUCACAGAAGGAGACGUCAUAAAGGGGUUUCCAACACGUGCAAUUGGGGAACUGAUCUAAUACAGUAAACCAUAAAAUUUAAUACUCUUCAAUAAAUCAAAAGGUAGACACA